rnacentral:tRNA from 1 species
GCGACCAUGGUGUAACGGUUAACACUGAGGUUUGUGGAACCUUCGAUUCGGGUUCGAUUCCCGAUGGUCGCCCA